CGCGUGGAGCAUGUGGCUUAAUUUGACUCAACGCGGGAAAUCUUACCGGGUCCGGACAUAUCGAGGAUUGACAGACAGUUACCAUGCCCUUUCGAAAGGAGUCAGGUUUUAAACCUAAUGGCUCUUUCAUGAUUAUAUGAUAGGUGGUGCAUGGCCGUUCUUAGUUCGUGGAGUGAUCUGUCUGCUUAAUUGCGUUUCAAAUUUUUAUUUGAGGACCAGGUUUUGGUUUGGGUAGUGGUCCUACGAUGACUGUGAACUGUCAUGUCUUCGGAUGUGCGACUAUCGGUCUAGGAUCGCAUCUCAGCCCCUGGGACUCUUUUGAACGCAACGGACGUGAUUGCAACCCCUUGUUGAGAUUAGAGGAGUCUCGAUAUUCAUUGGCCAAACUUACCGCUUCGAGCUUGCUCGUGCAGUUUUGUUAGCCGGUGGAUAAACUCGGGGGACUGCUGACUAUAACCAUUUCUCAAAACAGAGGAAGGU
rnacentral:rRNA from 1 species